rnacentral:rRNA from 1 species
UACGUAGGGAGCGAGCGUUGUCCGGAUUUAUUGGGUUUAAAGGGUGCGUAGGCUGUGAGGUAAGUCAGCGGUGAAAUGCCCCCGCUCAACGGGGUGAAGUGCCAUUGAUACUGCCUUGCUGGAAUGCGGAUGCCGUGGGAGGAAUGUGUGGUGUAGCGGUGAAAUGCAUAGAUAUCACACAGAACACCGAUUGCGAAGGCAUCUCACGAAUCCGCGAUUGACGCUGAUGCACGAAAGCGUGGGUAUCAAACAGG